rnacentral:lncRNA from 1 species
GUUGUAGAUACAUGUAUUUGUUUUUUAAAAAUUAUUUAACCAGCAUAUAGAAUGUCAUUGGGGGGUUUAAUCCAUUCACAUUGUUGAUAGGUAAGAAUUUAGUAUUGUCAUUUUGUCUAUUAUUUUCUAUCCUGUAAUUAUUUUCUUCAUUUUCUCUUGAGUCUUUUCUGAUUAUGUUUUAUGGGUAUAUGUUUGGUUUGUUUAUACUUUCUCUUUCUUUUUUCUUUUUGUGACACUGAAGAUUGAACCAGGGCCUUGUGUAUGCUAGGUCCAACAAAUGCUCCACAUGAGACAAGAAAGAAUACAAAAUUAUGUUUCAGUCUCUAAACAGGGAUUGAACUCGGGACCUUGGGCUUGUGAGGCAGGUGGUGGAACCACUGAGGAACAUAAUGAACUCAGAAUGUCUUCCUAGAACUCUUUGCUGUAACCCCCUCCACCUCCCACUGCUCUGCUUUGUGUAAACUCUGCUUGCUAUAUUCCCAGGGAAACUCCAAUGGAAUUAAAACUCAUAGAUGUAAAAAAUGUCAAAUAACUAACCAACCAAAGACUUCUAAAUGCUCUGCUUCUGCUUCUGUACCUCCUGCUUGCAACCCUAUAAAACUGCUGGCCCACUGAUAUUUUGGUCCUGACUUCUUUGGGAGUGAUCUCAGUCAGGUCUGUCAAUGUAAUAAACAAGUUG